UUGACCUAAAUAGUGUUUGUUUAGGAGUUGUUCCUUGAAUGACUUUAACCAAUUGUUUGUAUAUUUUCUGUGACAACAACACUAGUUGAGCUAGUUAGAUACAUGAAAAAUUAGACUGGAAAAAAUCAAGGAAGUUUGAAAUGUGAAUAUGGAGGCGAGAGGGCGAUGACAAAUCUUGCUCUCAUUUCUUCAGAUUUUAAUCACACUCACGCCAUAUCCCGAUCAGAAGUUGAGAUUGCUGAGUCUGUGCUGAAUGGAACUGUGCGAUGUUGAGAAUGCAUCAUGUUGUGUGGAAAUAUUUAAAUUAGUCAAGUUGUUAUCCCUUCAUCUCGUCUAUAUUUGUUGUCGCAACGAUGCGCAAGCUCAGUAGCUAUUGCGAUGAAUUGCAGUGUCGAGACCAGGGCUUCCAGAGCACCAGUGAACGACGCAGCAACAUCAAGUCUCUGGCUUCCAUAUCCGACCAAGGAUUAAAGAAAUCACGGCCGCUUCAACC
rnacentral:lncRNA from 1 species